GUCUCUGUAGCGCAACGGAUAGCGCCUUUGGCUUUUAAUCCAAAGGUCGUGGGUUCGAAUCCCACCUGGGAUG